AGCGAACGUUAGCGGCGGGCUUAACACAUGCAAGUCGAGCGAGAAAGUGGGCUUCGGUCCAUGAGUAAAGCGGCGCACGGGUGCGUAACACGUGAAUAACCUGCCCUUUGGCGCGGGAUAACGGUCCGAAAGGACCGCUAAUACCGCGUACGUCGGUGACGGCUCUGGCUGUUACCGGGAAAGGAUGGCCACUACUUGUAAGCUAUCGCCAAAGGAGGGGUUCGCGGCCCAUCAGCUAGUUGGUGAGGUAAUGGCUCACCAAGGCUAAGACGGGUAGCUGGUCUGAGAGGAUGAUCAGCCACACUGGGACUGAGAAACGGCCCAGACUCCUACGGGAGGUAGCAGUGGGGAAUAUUGGACAAUGGGCGCAAGCCUGAUCCAGCCACGCCGCGUGUGUGAUGAAGGUCUUCGGAUCGUAAAGCACUGUGGGGAGGGAAGAACGAGCUUGUGGCUAAUAUCCACGAGCAGUGACGGUACCUCCUUAGCAAGCACCGGCUAACUCCGUGCCAGCCGCCGCCGUAACAC
rnacentral:rRNA from 1 species